GGAGUUGUGGCUCAGUGGUAGAGCGCUUGCCUCAUAAGUGUGAGGCACUGGGUUCAAUCCUCAGCACCA
rnacentral:tRNA from 1 species